CUCAGAGGAAACGAGAUGAUGACACCGUUGACAAAGGUCGACACUGGUAUGCCCCCCCUCCACUGUGGACCAUGUUCAAGCUCAGUGGAGAUAAGGAUGCAGAUGCUAUGUCCUGGAGAGGGGACAUCUCCCUCCCCUCAGAUGAGACAGGGAGUCCAAGACCUGUGCCAGGCCAAGUCUUGACCUUUCUAAUAUGGCGGUGACGUUGAAGUACAAUCCAGCAUCCAAUGAGAUAGCAGAAACGGUCAGAGGUCAAAGUUGGGUACGGAAAAGCCUGGGAUACAAUGCUUCGCUCGUGGCAAAUAAAGUCUUUGGACUUGAUCCUGUUUGGCGACUCUUCUCUGACAACAU